GUUUUAGUAGUUUAAAAAAAACAUUGGUCUUGUAAACCAAAAUUAAGGAAACACUUUUAAAACU
rnacentral:tRNA from 1 species